CGACGUGAGCAAUCUGCCUUUGGGUGGGGGAUAACAGCCGGAAACGACUGCUAAUACCGCAUGAUGCAGCGGGGUCGCAUGAUUUUGCUGCCAAAGAUUUAUCGUCCAAAGAUGAGCUCGCGUCUGAUUAGCCAGUUGGCGGGGUAACGGCCCACCAAAGCGACGAUCAGUAGCCGGACUGAGAGGUUGAACGGCCACAUUGGGACUGAGACACGGCCCAGACUCCUACGGGAGGCAGCAG
rnacentral:rRNA from 1 species